GUCGUCUCCACCAGCGUAAAGUCAGACACAACAGGACUCUACUGUUUCCUCUGGGACCUUUCAGAAUAAAAUGUAGUGACCUAAAUGCCUCUGUUACUGUUGUAGUGAUGUGUGGAGGAGGAGAAGUGUCUUUAAUGUCAUUGUUUUUAACGUCUCAGGCAGGGUUUCUCUACCAUUGGAGCCGUUUUAGGUACCACCUAACUGAAUUAAUGUGAAGUCAAUCCCUUCCUGCCUGCUUCCUGACAGGUGGAGCUGGGACUCAUUCCAGGAAACAGCUCACCUGUGUCAGAGAUUUCUCUCCAGGUGGAGAGCGACCCUCUUCUUCAUCAACUCUUCUUCAUCAACUCUUCUUCAUCAACUCUUUGGACUGUUUGAGGAAACUAAAACAAACGGUCGUCUCCAUCAGAGUAAAGUGAGACACAACACAACUCUACUGUUUCUGAUAAAAGGUUCAAGGUUCGGCUUUAUUGUCAUUAUACAACAGAAUUGUCCAAUGAAAUGCAAUCGUCAUUUACAGCUGGCUCUGAUGAAUUUAAGUUACCAACCGGGCUGCCUCUGUGGACUUUGGGCUAAAAUAUCGGAAAGAAAGUCAAACAUUAUUCCAAAAAGGUGACAAAAACCUUAAAAAAGGAACAAAAACUUGUAAAAAGCCCCCCUCCAUAAGUCCUGCCUAUGUGUACAUAGUUUUCUCUCCACGUUAGUUAUCUGGGCAUUAGGGCUCAACCAUGUGGGGGAAACAAUCUAAUUGUGAUUUUUCUGCCAAGUUAGUCUUUGGUCUCUUCAGGGUUAGUUUCUGGCUCUGUAAUGUUAAAUAUAAUGUUUCUACUUCACUUCUUAUUUCCUGAGAAAGUGUUAAGGACUCUUGUGUUGAAGAUCAGAAAUCUGUCUGCAGCAGUUAGUGUCGGUCGUUCUAUUCACUGACAGGACUGAUGUGGAGACAACAUGACUCAGCUCUUUUAUUCUCUAACUAAACCAACUAAUAUGGAACUGUGUCACUAUGAGCUGGCACUCCUCCAACAGGAACUAGUGGCACUUCUUUAUGAUGCAACUCUGUGUUCAAAUUCA